GACGAACCGUGCGAACGUUAUUCGGAAUCACUGGGCUUAAAGGGUGCGUAGGCUGCGAGGAGGGUGGGGUGUGAAAUCCCUCGGCCUAACCGAGGAAUUGCGCUCCAAACCGCCUUGCUGGAGUGAGACAGAGGUGAGCGGAGCUAAUGGUGGAGCGGUGAAAUGCGUUGAUAUCAUUAGGAACACCAGAGGCGAAGGCGGCUCACUGGGUCUCAACUGACGCUGAUGCACGAAAGCUAGGGUAGCGAACGGG
rnacentral:rRNA from 1 species